UGCUGACAGCCUCCGGUGAACCUUCCGCCGUAACAGUCGUGACAUUUUUUGAAAGAUAACGACAGCGUUCUUGUGUCAAUGCGUGCCUUGCCACGAUGUGCCAAGGCAGGCCCACGCUAUUCAUGAUCGUGCGCAUGAAAAAAGAACGCAUGCGCACCAUCCUUCAAGCACGCCGGGGACACGGUUCAGACGCUUGACACCACCCCCCAAAGGGUAAGCGGUGAAUUCGCCGUCGCAAAACCGCAGCUUACGCUACCGUGGACAGCUUUCGCCUCACUCUAGGCUGUGUGUUAUGGCACUGCUGGCUGUUGGGAUGCAAUGUUUCAACGAUGCGUGGUUUUUGCCCUGCGACACCACUCGAAUUCGACAGUUGUUGCUUCCUCUUACGUGUUCCAGGACAGCGCAGCCAGGCGGUGCUUGCACUGGCUAGUCUCCCUGUCUUUCCUCCCUUUCUCUCUCUCUCGCUCAGGCACGAGAUGAUUUCAAAACCCGUGACGUCACAACGAACCAGUGCAGAAACAUCAAGGCAGCGCCACCACCUAUCCUUCGAUUUUACUUUUCCUGCUUAUCAAGUCUCCUCCCACGUGGUGGCCGCGGGAAUCGACUCCUCGACCUCCUGCUCAGCCGUCCGACGCCACAUAACCAUUGAUCCACCAUGUCGGCUAAGAGCGUAAGUGCCAUAGGAGUUUCACUUCCGGACACUGUGCGCUAACGUGUACGUGCCAGUAGAGAAAGAAGAAGACGAAGAAAUUUUGUUAAAGAAUAGUCCGGCAGUUCUUGCUGUGGUGGCCUCAGGUGACGGCUCGAAUUCCUUGGACUCGAGUGGCAUCUUCGGCUUGCCGGACGGCCCAGAGCUGGUCUGCCAACUCUGAACUUCUGAUAGCCGCCUCACAGCGGC